CCGUCAGCGCGCUCGGACAGGACAAUUUGACAUGAGCGUACACUUCAACGGCUGGCUGGCAGUUCAGAGCUAUCUGCGACGCCCACGUAUGUUACGAUUGAGUUUACAGCAGUCCCGUGUCGCACACGGCGGUUUGUGUAGGUGGACGCGACUGGCAUUUGAGGAGCACUCUCUCUUGGGAGAUUGAUGACCCGCGGCUGAGGUCCCUCACGUCGGGACGACCAGGCGACACCGCGUUCAAGGCCUUGCCUAGUCGCGGCUUCGCGGGCCUCCUGGACGAACCAGAUUUGGUCAGCGAUCAUGGAGCUGUGCAAGGCAUCGGCCCACCUCGCCGAGGGAACAUCGCGCCUUCGCGUACUUUCACGGGAAGCGGGCAGCACAGAUCAGCGUGUGGCGUGAUCUCGGCGGUUGCAGGACACGACGACCGUCAUCAAGCCACGUGAUUCACCAGUGACGUCGAGCUCAGCAUGUGCGCCUGCGUGGAUCCCUGGCUGAGAACUUAAGAUCCCACGAAGAAGUCAUCGUAGCCUCACUUGGCAGCAGCAGUCACGGCGAUCGCACAUUUUCUAAGCGGCUUCGUGUACUUUCACAGGUUCGUGAAACUUUUCCCUACUAGCGGCAGCGCUUUCACAUUUGCCGUGACUGCUGCUGCUGCUGCACAUCGUAGUCUGUCGCUUGUACUUGUUUCAGUUGUACUAGUGUUGUUGUAGCGCUUCCAUAAACCGUAUUAUUGUCUUCCUUCUUGCUCGGUGGCAAUGUCAAAGAAGCUUGUUAAACUUUUUGUGGAACUGAAACAAGAAGCUGAACAAG